GAUGGCUCCACUCGUUGCUAGAAUUGAGCAGUCUAUCCAUUUUGUGAAAAUCAACUGGUUAAGUAUUUACCGGACGUUAGUUCUGAAAAAUGCCACUAGUUGCCGCUAUCACAGCGUACCAAACUCGUUUCUAUGAACGUAUAGCAAAUUUACAACCAGCGUGAAGACAGAACAUUAUUGAUUUGUUUUAAACCAUAGUACAGUAUUUCAUCUACCGAUUACUACAGUGCCUCACUACAGGUUCAAAAAUGGCACAAGGUGGAUUAAAGGUUAAAACAAAAUUGCCAGAAAAUAUUAAGAGGAAUAAUAAUACCAGAAAACUGAAAAAAAAUCAGAAAAAAGUUUUCAAGAAAAGAAAAGUAACUUCUGAGAAACAGAGAAUACAAAAGGCACUUGAAAAAACAAUUCGAGCAAAUAUUGAGAGUGAAAUCAGAUCCCGAGCAAAUGGAGAAGGAUUAACAAUGGUUAAUUUGAAAAAUAAAAAGAAUUGAUUAUAAAAUUUAUUGAGUAUUUUUAUUCAUUCCUAUUAUAAUUUGACAAUCGUGUAAGCAUAGAUUCGAUUUAUUAAAGCUAUUUCAUGAAGGAUGUAUAAACCUGCAUUGGCCAAUACAUGUUUAUGUCUUUCAUGAAAUAGCUUUAACAAAUUAAGCUAAUAAAGACAUAAAAAUAGUUUUAUCUUCUGAAGAAAAGAAAAUGCAACACUUAGCACUUAGCAUCCAUCCAACAUGCAGAUUUUUCUUUAUGAUAA
rnacentral:lncRNA from 1 species